GAGAGGUCUUUCUGUUGGUUCAAUUCUGCUUUAGCUAGUUUCUAGUACAAUUCUAGAGAUAUAUGUGUGUUUUCAAGCAGCGUUUUUGUGUUCAUUUUCUUGUGGCAAGUGAAAUAAUCAGUCCGCAGAGAAAAAAAAAACAGCUACAUCAUUCUUGUAAAUCAAAGUUUUCACGGAGUUGAUUGGCUCAUUUGAAGUGUAUCGAUUGGAAACUACUUCCUAAUGCCGUCAUGCCAUGUUUCUCUUCAAUAACAAACAUAUGUUGGAGAACAUCUUAUCCAAUGGAUUAUUUCUAAAGGAUUGCUGAACUGGAUUAUUGGACAGAAAAAAUAUAUAUCAAGGGAAUUUGGUGGUAGGCGCUUUUGAGAUCGAAGGUAUUGUAGAUGGUGUUAUGGUAUUUCUUGUACCAAUUCAACAACUUUUAGCACGGGGUAUACUUCGAGGUAAGUGAAUCGAUUAGUUAAUAAUCAUUCUCUUUUUUGUACCUUGUAUUUAUUGUCUCCCUUAUUUGAGCUCGCCACUGGGACGUGGAAGGCUCAAUAAUUUGUCUGACAGAAGUCGGCAUCGAAUAUUUUCUUGAUUUAGUGGAGAGGGGAUAACAGGGGCGAGAUUAGCAGAGGUGUGGCACUUCCACUCAUGCUGCUUCCAGCUGCUGACCUGAAGAGAGUUCCUUAUUUCUCAAAUGAGAUCAUCAGUUUGUUCGUGCUGACUGAUGACAUGUAGCACCAUGGAGUAGUUAGAACUUCAGACGUUUGUAUUGUUCAGAAUCCAGAGAGUUUGUACAUCAACCAAAAACCACGCAUAAAUCUGUAACUACAUACAUAGUUAUAGCGGACGCUCAGACGUCACGGACUUCAAAUGUUUUUUUUUUCCUGGGCAUCAACACCUGGCUGUAUAUCAAGUUCUUUAGGUUUGAAUAGACGUUCCACUGUUUAAUUAUUGCAAAUUAGGAACAAGGAAUUACUUUCCCCUGAAUUACGAGUCAAUCCAAACGUAGUAUUGAAAAUAACAGACACAUGAAUCCAUUGAAACAGAAACACUUGUAGCAGAGAAACCGAAUACAAGGCUUGGUUAAACUGAACUGUCAGAAUAGUAACACACUAAAUGAACCUUUUGAACCCAGUCUCAUGAUGCUACACAAACAAAACCAAGUAGCAACAAUUUCAAAACAUCUAAUCAACAAUUUCAAUAUAUCUAAUCAACAAUUUC
rnacentral:sRNA from 1 species